rnacentral:rRNA from 1 species
UGAGGAAUAUUGGUCAAUGGACGGAAGUCUGAACCAGCCAAGUAGCGUGCAGGAUGACGGCCCUAUGGGUUGUAAACUGCUUUUGUAUGGGGAUAAAGUUAGGGACGUGUCCCUAUUUGCAGGUACCAUACGAAUAAGGACCGGCUAAUUCCGUGCCAGCAGCCGCGGUAAUACGGAAGGUCCAGGCGUUAUCCGGAUUUAUUGGGUUUAAAGGGAGCGUAGGCUGGAGAUUAAGUGUGUUGUGAAAUGUAGACGCUCAACGUCUGAAUUGCAGCGCAUACUGGUUUCCUUGAGUACGCACGACGUUGGCGGAAUUCGUCGUGUAGCGGUGAAAUGCUUAGAUAUGACGAAGAACUCCGAUUGCGAAGGCAGCUGACGGGAGCGCAACUGACGCUUAAGCUCGAAGGUGCGGGUAUCAAACAGGAUUAGAUACCCUGGUAGUCCGCACAGUAAACGAUGGAUGCCCGCUGUUGGUACCUGGUAUCAGCGGCUAAGCGAAAGCAUUAAGCAUCCCACCUGGGGAGUACGCCGGCAACGGUG